ACGGGAGGCAGCAGUGGGGAAUAUUGGACAAUGGGGGAAACCCUGAUCCAGCGACGCCGCGUGAGUGAAGAAGUAUUUCGGUAUGUAAAGCUCUAUCAGCAGGGAAGAUAAUGACGGUACCUGACUAAGAAGCCCCGGCUAACUACGUGCCAGCAGCCGCGGUAAUACGUAGGUGGCAAGCGUUAUCCGGAAUUACUGGGUGUAAAGGGUGUGUAGGCGGGAAGGCAAGUCAGAUGUGAAAAUUAUGGGCUCAACCCAUAACUUGCAUUUGAAACUGUUUUUCUUGAGAGACGGAGAGGUAAACGGAAUUCCCAGUGUAGCGGUGAAAUGCGUAGAUAUUGGGAGGAACACCAGUGGCGAAGGCGGUUUACUGGACGUCAACUGACGCUGAGACACGAAAGCGUGGGGAGCAAACAGGAUUAGAUACCCUGGUA
rnacentral:rRNA from 1 species